UACAAUUACAGAUUUAUGAUUUUAAGAUCGAGAUACUAAGCUUUACUUACAAUCUGGAUUAGAAGUGAAAUUUACCGUUUAUUGGUGAGGGCUCCGUUGCGAAUAUCGCGUGGACGCCAUUUUCAAAAUUUUGCUCCUUUCUUUUCCAAUUUCAGUAAACUAUGGCGACAGGCAUCCAACAUGACCUGAUGAAGCAGGCACAGUGCUUUUGGUCAAUGCUGGAUGAGCUUGCAGAGACCGAUGAAGAUGCAUACAGGAAGUUCAUGGCCACAAACCUCCAAAGAGGACAGCAAGAAUUGACACCGGCCAAGCCAUAGAUGUGUGUCAAGACCCGUAUCAUGGUUGUUGACAAGAACAGAAAUGGCAGAGUUUGGCAGCGGCACAACUACAAAGUCUGCAACUGGAAGUGGUGGAUAUGACCUGGAUGAUAUUUACAAAAUCGCUGGAACGGUUGGAGGAAUUGACGGCUUUCUGGUGGCUCUACUGUUGACAUUUGGUUUUGUAAUAUAUUACCUACAAAGAAGUGGAGCCAGCAUAGGAAGCAUUGGAACAAUCAGCGGUAACAACAACCCUAACGUUGUUGCUUCAGGGGAAGUUACUUUCAAUUACUACAAGCCGUCGGAGGGAACAGGUAAAUAUUAUCUUGUUUGAUACAAUUCAUACGAUAAAGUACAGUAAACUCCGGCUGAAUAAGACGGCACUCUCGGGACCAGAGAAUUUGUGACGGCUUACCCAGAUGUCGGCUUCUGCUGCAAGACGUCAUUUUGCCGUCUUACACAAAUACACGAAUUGAAUCACGGAGUGAAAAAA